rnacentral:pre_miRNA from 1 species
AUUGGUACUCAAACAACGGCACUGAUCUUUCCACAGUAGUUAGUAAGUGCUAUUUGUUGGGGUAGUUUGA